AAAAAGUUUUAAUUUGGUUUAUUUAAUUAAUUUAUAUACUUAUUAUAUGUAAAUUUUUGUAUAAUUUAAAUAAUAUUAUUUGCAGUAAUUAAAUUUAAAUAUUUAAGUAAUUAAGAUUUAGGGAUUUAUAAAAGUAUUAACAAAAUUUGUGCCAGCAGUUGCGGUUAUACAAAUAAUACAAUUAAUUUUUAUUAGUUAAUAAUAAAUUAUUAAUAGUUUUAAUUUAAUAUUAAAAUUUUUAGGUGAAAUUUAAAUUUUUAUAAAAUUAUUUAAAAAUUUAUGAUUUAUGAAAUUUAAUUAUAAACUAGGAUUAGAUACCCUAUUAUUAUAAAUGUAAAUUUAUUUCUUAAUUAAUAAUAGUUAUGUUCUUAAAAGUUAAAAAUUUUGGCGGUAUUUUAGUCUAUUUAGAGGAACCUGUUUAGUAAUAGAUAUUCCACUAUUUAUUUUACUUAUUUUAAUAAAUUUGUAUAUCGUCGUUAAUGAAUAUUUUAUAAGAAUUUUAAAUAUUCAAGAUUUAUAAUUUUAAAAAAAGUCAGAUCAAGGUGCAGUUUAUAAAUAAGAUUUAAUGGGUUACAAUAAAUUUAUUUAUGGAUUAUUAAUUGAAAAUUAAUUUGAAAUUGGAUUUAAUAGUAAUAAAAUUUAAUUAAAUUUUAUGAUUUUAGCUCUAGAAUAUGCACAUAUUGCCCGUCACUUUCAUAUAAAAUGAAAUAAGUCGUAACAAAGUAGAUGUACUGGAAAGUGUAUCUAGUAAGA
rnacentral:ncRNA from 1 species